GUAGUAAUAGCAUUUACUUCAUCAAACUCCCAAGAAGUCAUGCUAAAAUCAAGAUGAGUAAAUAGAAGCCCCAAACCAUAAAGAUCAACAGUUGAGAACGGGUCAGGUGAAAGCAACGAACAUACAGAAGAAUUCAACUGGAUGUCUAUACCAGCCAUAUCGAAAGAACUAAUAAUUGGACGACCCUCAAAUAAGUCCGGAUGAUUGCAAACUUUACGAAGUUGCAUUAUAAUGCUGAUCAUCCCAAAAAAGUUAGCACUAGCAAGGGUAGCUUGCGUCUCCGAGCUAGCAAUGAAGUCCUCGUACAAGUUACGCUGCGUCUUUGAAAGCCUACA
rnacentral:misc_RNA from 1 species